GCCUCUGUAGCUCAGUUGGUUAGAGCGCUGCACCGGAAUCGCAGGGCCGUAGGUUCAAUUCCUACCAGAGGGC
rnacentral:tRNA from 1 species